GCUGCUCACUUCAGCAGCAUGUAUUGGAAUGGCACAGAGAAGAUGAACAUGGCCCCUGCACAAGGAUGACAGCUAAAUUCGUGAAGUGUUCCAUAUUUUU
rnacentral:snRNA from 1 species